CUCUUCAGGUAAACCAUUCACCAGUCAUCAAGUGAGAAUGAUUUUCAGGUACAUCAUAUGGAGGCCAUUGAAUGGAAAGGUUGUUCAUUUAAGUUGGAUCCAUACUGAUGAAGCAGUGGUUUAUAGCAUUUUACCAGUCUCUAGGACCUUAAGCCUCCUGAAUGCCAAAGCUCCUGUUGUUGGAAACCUUGUCUAAGAAAGGAAAAAAUGAGCAUAUGUAAUUUCUGGAAUAGGUUGACUCUCUGAAGUUUGCCAGCAUUACUACAAACCAGUAAGACUGAGAAAUGAAACCAUUCCAUAAAGAAAAGGCUUGGACUAGAUAAUGUUAUAUAACAGCAAUUGGAUUCCAGCACCUGAGGUUUCCAGAAUUGAAACAAGCAACUGCUUCUUAUGAUGUUUGUGCUCUAUUUGAAGCAGAGAGGUGGGAGUGACACGUAAAGAUUCAUCUUUG